UGUAGAACGGUCCGGCGAGUUAUAGUAACGAGCAAGCUUAAGGUAUUCAGUACCGGAGGCGCAGCGAAAGCGAGUCUGAAAAGGGCGCAUGAAGUUCGUUGCCAUAGACCCGAAACCGGGUGACCUACGCAUGAGCAGGUUGAAGUGGGGGUGAAACCCCAUGGAGGACCGAACCGACCCCCGUUGCAAUGGUGGCGGAUGACUUGUGUGUAGCGGUGAAAUUCCAAUCGAACUCGGAGAUAGCUGGUUCUCCCCGAAAUAGCUUUAGGGCUAGCGUUGUGUUAGAUUACCGGAGGUAAAGCACUGAAUGGUUUAGGGGCUGAUAAAGUUACCGACGCCUAUCAAACUCUGAAUGCCGGAUAAUUGAUGCACAGCAGUCAGACAGUGUGAGAUAAGUUUCAUUGUCAAAAGGGAAACAGCCCAGACCCACAGCUAAGGUCCCUAAUGUGCGCUAAGUGGAAAACGAUGUGGAGUUGCGAAAACAACCAGGAUGUUGGCUUAGAAGCAGCCACUCAUUAAAAGAGUGCGUAAUAGCUCACUGGUCGAGUGACUCUGCGCGGAAAAUAUAACGGGGCUAAGCACACAACCGAAGCUUGGGAUUGUCAAAAGACAGUGGUAGGGGAGCGUCGAAUACGGGGUGAAGUCGUAUCGGAAGGAACGGUGGACUGUAUUCGAGUGAGAAUGCCGGAAUGAGUAGCGAGAAUUAUGUGGGAAUCAUAAUGGCCGAAAAUCUAAGGUUUCUUGGGGAAGGUUCGUCCGCCCAAGGUAAGUCGGGAGCUAAGGCGAGGCCGAGAGGCGUAGUCGAUGCACAUACGGUAGAAAUUCCGUAACCACCGAAACUUAAGUUAGAGGGACACUUCGAGAUAGCGGAACCGCGGCGUUGGUAGACCGCGGCGAAAGGGACUGAAAUAUAGUAGGGAAGUCCGCGAUGCUCGGAGGCGAGAAAAGCUCUAAGGAAUGCUAAGGUGCCCGUACCGCAAACCGACACAGGUAGAUGAGGAGAGAAUCCUAAGGCCAACGGGAGAAGGGUUGUUAAGGAACUCGGCAAGUUGACCCCGUAACUUCGGAAGAAGGGGAGCCUCGAAAGAGGCCGCAGUGAAUAGGCCCAGGCAACUGUUUACCAAAAACACAGGUCUAUGCUAAAUCGAAAGAUGACGUAUAUGGGCUGACGCCUGCCCGGUGCCGGAAGGUUAAGAGGAGAUGUCAGGCAACGAAGCAUCGAAUUGAAGCCCCGGUAAACGGCGGCCGUAACUAUAACGGUCCUAAGGUAGCGAAAUUCCUUGUCAGGUAAGUUCUGACCCGCACGAAUGGCGUAAUGAUUUGGGCACUGUCUCAACAGCCCGCCCGGCGAAAUCUGUCUCUUAUACACAUCUGACGCUGCCGACGAAGAGGAUAGUGUAGAUCUCGGUGGUUGCUGUAUCAUUAAAAAAAAAAAGAAAAGAGCACGCACUUGGGAGAUGAGACAAGUUGAAAAGAAUAAAAACCACCUAGUAU
rnacentral:rRNA from 1 species